AUUGAACGCUGGCGGCAGGCCUAACACAUGCAAGUCGAGCGGAUGAAGGGAGCUUGCUCCUGGAUUCAGCGGCGGACGGGUGAGUAAUGCCUAGGAAUCUGCCUGGUAGUGGGGGAUAACGUCCGGAAACGGGCGCUAAUACCGCAUACGUCCUGAGGGAGAAAGUGGGGGAUCUUCGGACCUCACGCUCUCAGAUGAGCCUAGGUCGGAUUAGCUAGUUGGUGGGGUAAAGGCCUACCAAGGCGACGAUCCGUAACUGGUCUGAGAGGAUGAUCAGUCACAUUGGAACUGAGACAGGGACCAGACUACUACGGGAGGCAGCAGUGGGGAAUGUGGGACAAUGGGCGAAAGCAUUAUACAGCCAGCGCGCGUGUGUGAAGAAGGUCUUCGGAGUGUAAAGCACGUCAUGUUGUGAGAAAGGGCAGUAAGUUAAUACCUUGCUGUUUUGACGGUACCAACAGAAUAAGCACCGGCUAACUUCGUG
rnacentral:rRNA from 1 species